CGACCCCACCUUGAAUUCCAGGGGAUAAAGGGGUCGGCAACAAAAACACACCGGAUCAACUUAAAGAUAUAUAUACAAAGUUUUAUUAUAAAUCCCAGGUUCAAAUUUAAACAACAAAAAAAACAAACAACUAAAGGUGUCCACAGUUCGGGAUAUCUAAUCCGGUCACAAAACAAAGGAAGAAAUUUAAUUAACUAAAGGUGUCCACAGUUCGGGAUAUCUAAUCCGGUCACAAAA